rnacentral:rRNA from 1 species
CUGGCGGCAGGCCUAACACAUGCAAGUCGAGCGCGCCUUCGGGUGAGCGGCGGACGGGUUAGUAACGCGUGGGAACGUGCCCUUCUCUACGGAAUAGCCUCUGGAAACGGAGAGUAAUACCGUAUACGCCCUUUGGGGGAAAGAUUUAUCGGAGAAGGAUCGGCCCGCGUUAGAUUAGGUAGUUGGUGGGGUAACGGCCUACCAAGCCUACGAUCUAUAGCUGGUUUUAGAGGAUGAUCAGCAACACUGGGACUGAGACACGGCCCAGACUCCUACGGGAGGCAGCAGUGGGGAAUCUUAGACAAUGGGGGCAACCCUGAUCUAGCCAUGCCGCGUGAGUGAUGAAGGCCUUAGGGUCGUAAAGCUCUUUCGCCUGUGAUGAUAAUGACAGUAGCAGGUAAAGAAACCCCGGCUAACUCCGUGCCAGCAGCCGCGGUAAUACGGAGGGGGUUAGCGUUGUUCGGAAUUACUGGGCGUAAAGCGCGCGUAGGCGGAUUAGAAAGUUGGGGGUGAAAUCCCGGGGCUCAACCCCGGAACUGCCUCCAAAACUGCUAGUCUAGAGUUCGAGAGAGGUGAGUGGAAUUCCGAGUGUAGAGGUGAAAUUCGUAGAUAUUCGGAGGAACACCAGUGGCGAAGGCGGCUCACUGGCUCGAUACUGACGCUGAGGUGCGAAAGUGUGGGGAGCAAACAGGAUUAGAUACCCUGGUAGUCCACACCGUAAACGAUGAAUGCCAGUCGUCGGAUAGUAUACUAUUCGGUGACACACCUAACGGAUUAAGCAUUCCGCCUGGGG